UCAAGUCGGGGAUGACUUGUGGCUAGGGGUGAAAGACCAAUCAAACUUGGCAAUAGCUGGUUCUCCGCGAAAGCUAUUUAGGUAGCGCCUUGCAUGAUUGCCGACGGGGGUAGAGCACUGGAUGGGCUAGGGGGUCCCAAAGACUUACCAAACCUAACCAAACUCCGAAUACCGUCGAGUACAGUGCAGGAGACACACAUCGGGUGCUAAGGUCCGGUGUGAAAAGGGAAAGAGCCCAGACCGCCAGCUAAGGUCCCUAAGUUGUGGCUAAGUGGGAAAGGAAGUGGAAUGGCCAAGACAACCAGGAUGUUGGCUUAGAAGCAGCCAUCAUUUAAAGAAAGCGUAAUAGCUCACUGGUCUAGAUACUAAGCCGUUCUGCGCCGAAGAUGUACCGGGGCUAAAGCCACACACCGAAGCUGCGGAUGUGAACAAUCUUCGGAUUGUUUACGUGGUAGCGGAGCGUUCCGUAAGCCUGCGAAGGUGUACCGUGAGGUAUGCUGGAGGUAUCGGAAGUGCGAAUGCUGACAUGAGUAGCGAUAAGGAGUGCGAGAAACACUCCCGCCGAAAGUCCAAGGGUUCCUGCGCAAGGUUAAUCCGCGCAGGGUUAGUCGGCCCCUAAGGCGAGGGCGAAAGCCGUAGUCGAUGGGAAUCAGGUUAAUAUUCCUGAACCUGCUGGAAGUGACGGAUGCCGUGUGUUGUUCGAGCUUAACGGAUUGCUCGAGCUUCGAAGGCGUUCCAGGAAAUAACUCCAGCGUAUAGACCGUACCCCAAACCGACACAGGUGGACUGGUAGAGUAUACCAAGGCGUUUGAGAGAACGAUGUUGAAGGAACUCGGCAAAUUACACGCGUAACUUCGGGAUAAGCGUGACCCUUAAGUGGGCAACCAUUUAAGGGUGGCACAGAAGAGGGGGUAGCGACUGUUUACUAAAAACACAGGGCUCUGCGAAGUCGCAAGACGACGUAUAGGGUCUGACGCCUGCCCGUUGCCGGAAGGUUAAGGAGAGGGGUGCAAGCUCUGAACCGAAGCCCCGGUAAACGGCGGCCGUAACAAUAACGGUCCUAAGGUAGCGAAAUUCCUUGUCGGGUAAGUUCCGACCUGCACGAAUGGCGUAACGACUUCCCCGCUGUCUCCAACAUCGACUCAGCGAAAUUGAAUUCCCCGUGAAGAUGCGGGGUACCCGCGGUUAGACGGAAAGACCCCUGCACCUUUACUAUAGCUUUGCAGUGGUAUUAGGGAAGGAAUGUGUAGGAUAGGUGGGAGCCUAUGAAGCGACGUCGCUAGGUGUCGUGGAGGCAACCUUGAAAUACCACCCUUUUGUUCUCUGAUAUCUAACCGUGGCCCGUGAAACCGGGUCCGGGACCCUGCAUGGUGGGUAGUUUGACUGGGGCGGUCGCCUCCCAA
rnacentral:rRNA from 1 species